rnacentral:rRNA from 1 species
CCUACGGGGCGCAGCAGUGAGGAAUAUUGGUCAAUGGUCGGGAGACUGAACCAGCCAAGCCGCGUGAGGGAUGAAGGUACAGAGUAUCGUAAACCUCUUUUGUCAGGGAGCAACGCCGGCUACGUGUAGCCGGACUGAGAGUACCUGAAGAAAAAGCAUCGGCUAACUCCGUGCCAGCAGCCGCGGUAAUACGGAGGAUGCGAGCGUUAUCCGGAUUUAUUGGGUUUAAAGGGUGCGCAGGCGGAAGAUCAAGUCAGCGGUAAAAGCCCGGGGCUCAACCCCGGCGAGCCGUUGAAACUGGCUGU